rnacentral:rRNA from 1 species
AUCCUUCGGGACCUGCCGCCGGGAGAUUGGCCCGCGGCCCAUUAGCUUGUUGGCGGGGUAACGGCCCACCAAGGCGACGAUGGGUAGCCGGCCUGAGAGGGUGUCCGGCCACACUGGGAUUGAGAUACGGCCCAGACUCCUUCGGGAGGCAGCAGUCGAGAAUCUUCCCCAAUGGACGAAAGUCUGAGGGAGCGACGCCGCGUGAGGGAUGAAGGCCCUUUGGGUUGUAAACCUCUGUUAGGGGGAAAGAACAGCAGUGGAAGCAACAUGUCCAUUGCCUGACGUUACCCCCAGAGAAAGCUCCGGCCAACUCCGUGCCAGCAGCCGCGGUAAUACGGGGGGAGCAAGCGUUGUCCGGAAUCAUUGGGCGUAAAGGGCGUGUAGGCGGUUAGGCAAGUCGAAUGUGAAAUCCCACGGCUCAACCGUGGAACUGCGUUCGAAACUGCCCUACUUGAGUGCGGGAGAGGUGUGCGGAAUUCCUGGUGUAGCGGUGGAAUGCGUAGAUAUCAGGAAGAACACCGGUGGCGAAGGCGGCACACUGGCCCAGCACUGACGCUGAGGCGCGAAAGCGUGGGGAGCGAACGGGAUUAGAUACCCCGGUAGUCCACGCUGUAAACUUUGGGCACUAGGUAUUGGAGGUCUCAACCCCUUCAGUGCCGUAGCUAACGCGU